rnacentral:piRNA from 1 species
UGAGAAAUGGAAGAUGAUGAUUCCCAAGAU